GGAAUGGAAUGAUCCUACGGGAGGCAGCAGUGGGGAAUAUUGGACAAUGGGCGAAAGCCUGAUCCAGCCAUGCCGCGUGUGUGAAGAAGGUCUUCGGAUUGUAAAGCACUUUAAGUUGGGAGGAAGGGUUGUAGAUUAAUACUCUGCAAUUUUGACGUACCGACAGAUAGC
rnacentral:rRNA from 1 species